rnacentral:tRNA from 1 species
AUAUGGUGUAAUACGGUAGCACUGAGAUUUUUGAAUUCUUCGGAGUAGGUUCGAGUCCUAUUAUCCUAG